CGUGUAGGCGGGAAUGCAAGUCAGAUGUGAAAUGCCGAGGCUUAACCUCGGAGCUGCAUCUGAAACUGCGUUUCUUGAGUGUCGGAGAGGAAAGUGGAAUUCCCAGUGUAGCGGUGAAAUGCGUAGAUAUUGGGAGGAACACCAGUGGCGAAGGCGACUUUCUGGACGAUAACUGACGCUGAGGCGCGAAAGCGUGGGGAGCAAACAGGAUUAGAUACCCUGGUAGUCCACGCCGUAAACGAUGGAUACUAGGUGUGGGAGGUAUCGACCCCUUCCGUGCCGCAGUUAACACAAUAAGUAUCCCACCUGGGGAGUACGGCCGCAAGGUUGAA
rnacentral:rRNA from 1 species